UCUUUGUUAGUAUAUCGGUUAGUACACGCGCUUGUCAUUUACAUGAUCGCGCGAAAGCUGGGUUCGACUCCCAGACAGAGAG